GCCAGCGGCGAUAGCACGAUGAAAGCACCAGUUCCCUAUGGAUCACUGAAGUUAAGCAACGCUGCAAGAGGAUGGGUGGUCAUCUGGGCACUCGAGUGCUGCUAGAU
rnacentral:rRNA from 1 species